GAUGAACGCUGGCGGCGUGCUUAACACAUGCAAGUCGAACGGAAAGGCUCCUGCUUGCAGGGGUACUCGAGUGGCGAACGGGUGAGUAACACGUGGGUGAUCUGCCCUGCACUUCGGGAUAAGCCUGGGAAACUGGGUCUAAUACCGGAUAGGACGAUGGUUUGGAUGCCAUUGUGGAAAGUUUUUCGGUGUGGGAUGAGCUCGCGGCCUAUCAGCUUGUUGGUGGGGUAAUGGCCUACCAAGGCGUCGACGGGUAGCCGGCCUGAGAGGGUGUACGGCCACAUUGGGACUGAGAUACGGCGCAGACUGCUACGGGAGGCAGCAGUGGGGAAUAUUGCACAAUGGGCGCAAGCCUGAUGCAGCGACGCCGCGUGGGGGAUGACGGCCUUCGGGUUGUAAACUCCUUUCGCUAGGGACGAAGCGCAAGUGACGGUACCUGGAGAAGAAGCACCGGCUAACUACGUG
rnacentral:rRNA from 1 species